GAACACCAAAAGAUCAUGCUAACAUCUAUUCUUCCUCCUUGGCAUUUUCAUCUUUUUUUUAUUUUUUAACAAUGAUUCAUUUGCACUUUAUUUCAUCAAGAGAAGAAACAGAAGCUGGCUUUCUUCACACUAACCAAUAAUUUUGCAUUUUAAAGUUUGGGAUGUUUUCCAUAAUGAGCUGAAUCAAAAAUCUAUUUGAAAUAUAUAAAGAUUCAGGUUUUUGCAUGUAAAACAUCAAUCGGUAAGUUUCUUUUGUCUUUGAUUCCAUGUUGCUGGAAAAAGUUUGACAAAGCUUGCAUGCUAAUUUGUCCUUAGUUGCAAGUUUAACAGCAAUCUCAUACUUUGCCUAUGAAAGGAUAACCCUUCUUUGACAUCUUCAGGCUUCAACAGUGAUUCAGAAACAACACCCUACCCUUAAUACUGUCAGUUUGGAGCCAUCAGCAUGAAAACCCUUGCUAAUGAUGAGAUGUUAUUAGAUGGGAACCAGUCCAUCGAUGUGUCUGUGGGUUACACAAUACUAUUUUGCUUGACUUUUUUGUGGGUUUAUUUUUUUUGCACCAUUGGUUGAUUUUUUUUUAAAUCCAUGUUUAUUUUUUCCUCCUUCGAAAGCAUUUUAGGUAACAGAACUCACUGACUCUUUAAGACUGACAUUUUGAUUCUUGUUUUAUUUUGCAGGAUGCUCACACAUCCCUUCCCCUGAUUUUUGUUUUCUUUUUGCAUCAAUAAAAGCAAUGUUUUGUCAUAAAUUAAUACACAGAUGCUCUGGCUGUUGGAGAUCAUAGGAAAUGCUUGUUUUUUGUAUGGCCCAGAGUUGGGCUGUCGGAUUGGAAGUGGGGCUGAAGCCUCCCCGCUCACUGUCACAUCCAUCUGCUCUAUUCCAAUUGUUUCCAUUGGAUAUUCCACAGGUGUCUGAGGAUUUGCCAUGCUGGCUGAAGCACCUCAUCCCCAGAAAUCCCCAGGAGAGAAUUUCACCAGGCUAACAGGUGUUCGUGGGCUACCAAUAAAUCUUCGAGGUGACCAGAUUUUUGGUUCAAAGGAAAACUUUUCUUUCACACUUUCAAGUACAUAUGGAGCCACAUAUGUAAAACCCAACAGAGGCUUAAAAGGAGGCUCCACCUUCCGAGCUAGAAGUUCUUCCCAGUGAAUGUGUCUGACAAAUGGAUGUGCUUGGACUUCUCCAGCAUCCCCAGGACCAGCUCCUAGAGGAGAAGCAGCAUUUCUUUUCAGCAGAUUUUUAAGCAGAUCUCAAGCUUCUUGUGUGAGGUAGGGAGGCAAAUUAAGUUUACAUUUGAGGAUUCUGUCAAUUGUUUCUAUUCUCUCCAGUGAAUGGAAGUGCUCCAGUCAGCAUGUCAUACAUUAACACUCCCAAACUCCACCAAUCCACAGCACGAUUGUGGCCACUUCUCAUCAAGAUUUCAGGGGCCAUGUGUUCUGUUGUUCCACAAAAUGUGUGUGUGAUUAUUCCAAUCAUGAAUAGAUUCUUUGCAUAGUCCAAAGUCUGUUAGUUUCACAUGACAUUGUUGAUAGAGCAUGAUGCUCUCCAGUUUCAGGUCUCUGUAGUUGAUCCCCUUUUGAUGUAAAUGUCCCAAAGCCAUGGAGAUUUCAGCCAAGUAAAAGCAAGCUGUUCUUCCAUGAAUAUUCCCUCUCUUCCUAACUGCAUAAAUAGUUCUCCUCCACUGAGAUACUCAAGGAUGAGGUAGAGUUUCCACCGGUCUGAAAGGCAUAAAUUAAAUUCACAAUGAAGGGGUGUUUUACUUCCUCCAGAAUAUUCCACUCUGCUUUUGUAUGAGCUGUAUCUGUAGCAUUUCUUACUGUCAUUGCCUUCUUAAGCACCUUCAUGGCAAAUAUCUUCCCAGUAUUGGCUCCUGUCACUUUUCAGACUUGAAAAACCUUUCCAUAGUCCCAUUUACUAAGUACCCAAAGUAGCUCAAAACAUUCUGGUCUGAUUUUUUUUUUCUAGCCCUCUGUUCACACUAGUUUCUGAGAUUU
rnacentral:lncRNA from 1 species